CUGCAGAAUUGAGGAACGUGAAAACUUCAUUAUCAUCAAGACAGUUGUAUGGUGAUGAUGCUAAUUCAUAUGCUAACUCAAAUCCUAAAACAUCAAGCUGAUUACAAAGUGCCCGACAUUCUUCAGUUCUCGAUGCAUUAUUAGAGCAUCAAGCAUAAGAAAGGAAGUGACUGUGAAACGUUUUUACCCAAAAUUAAUGGUGUUUUUACACAAGAAAAUAUAAAUUUUGUGGAAAGUCUGACUCGAGCACAACACGAAAUUCAAGCAUCGCAUGAGUUAAGGAAUAAAAGCAUCAAAAGCAUUUGAUGUUUCACGAUGCAAAAUAACUGUUGGAUCCUUGGUUGCCUUAAUAAUGGGAGCUAAAGUACCAGAUACUCCAACCAUGAAAAGAGGAAAAUCAUUGGAAGAACUAGUAAGAAAG